GUUGAAAUACCGGUCCUCGUGCGAUUACCAAAGUUAAGCAACGUCGAGCUUGGUCAGUACCUAGAUGGGUGACCGUUUGGGACUACCAGGUGCUGUAA